rnacentral:rRNA from 1 species
GAUUCUGGCUCAGGAUGAACGCUAGCUACAGGCUUAACACAUGCAAGUCGAGGGUAGCAGGGUAGCAAUACCGCUGACGACCGGCGCACGGGUGAGUAACACGUAUCCAACCUUCCCAUAACUCAGGGAUAGCCUUUCGAAAGAAAGAUUAAUACCUGAUAGUACUUUUUCAAGGCAUCUUGAGAAAGUUAAAGAUUUAUUGGUUGUGGAUGGGGAUGCGUUCCAUUAGAUAGUUGGUGAGGUAACGGCUCACCAAGUCUUCGAUGGAUAGGGGUUCUGAGAGGAAGGUCCCCCACAUUGGUACUGAGACACGGACCAAACUCCUACGGGAGGCAGCAGUGAGGAAUAUUGGUCAAUGGGCGAGAGCCUGAACCAGCCAAGUAGCGUGAAGGAUGAAGGUCCUAUGGAUUGUAAACUUCUUUUAUAGUAGAAUAAAGUGAUCCACGUGUGGAUUUUUGUAUGUAUACUAUGAAUAAGGAUCGGCUAACUCCGUGCCAGCAGCGGC